UCGUCCGAGUUGUAACCUGGAGAGGCAUUUUCCGCGUUGGACCGUGUACAAGUCUCCUGGAAUGGAGCGUCAUAGAGGGUGAGAAUCCCGUCCAUGACACGGACCGCCAAUGCUUUGUGAUAUGCCUUCGAAGAGUCGCGUUGUUUGGGAAUGCAGCGCAAAAUGGGUGGUAAAUUCCAUCUAAAGCUAAAUAUUGGCGAGAGACCGAUAGCGAACAAGUACCGUGAGGGAAAGAUGAAAAGCACUUUGGAAAGAGAGUUAAACAGUACGUGAAAUUGUUGAAAGGGAAACGCUUGAAGUCAGUCGCGUUCCGUGGAACUCAGCCUUACUUCGGUUUGGUGUACUUUCCAUGUGAACGGGUCAACGUCAAUUUUGGCCGGUGGAUAAAGGCAAAGGGAAUGUAGCGUUGCUUCGGUGACGUGUUAUAGCCCCUUGUUGUAUACACCGGCUGGGAUUGAGGACCGCAGCACGCCCUUGUGGCCGGGGGUUCGCCCCACGUACCGUGCUUAGGAUGUUGGCAUAAUGGCUUUAAGCGACCCGUCUUGAAACACGGACCAAGGAGUCUAACAUGCUUGCGAGUGUUCGGGUGGAAAACCCUUGCGCGUAAUGAAAGUGAAAGUUAGGAACCUUCUCGCAAGAGGGGGUGCACUGACGCCCGGCCCUGACGUUCUCUGACGGUGCUGCGGUAGAGCAAGUAUGUUGGGACCCGAAAGAUGGUGAACUAUGCCUGAAUAGGGCGAAGCCAGAGGAAACUCUG
rnacentral:rRNA from 1 species